rnacentral:rRNA from 1 species
UAGGGAAUCUUCCGCAAUGGACGCAAGUCUGACGGAGCAACGCCGCGUGAGUGAAGAAGGAUUUCGGUUCGUAAAACUCUGUUGUUAGAGAAGAACAGCGCAUAGAGUAACUGUUAUGCGUGUGACGGUAUCUAACCAGAAAGCCACGGCUAACUACGUGCCAGCAGCCGCGGUAAUACGUAGGUGGCAAGCGUUGUCCGGAUUUAUUGGGCGUAAAGCGAGCGCAGGCGGUCAAUUAAGUCUGAUGUGAAAGCCCCCGGCCCAACCGGGGAGGGUCAUUGGAAACUGGUUGACUUAAGUGCAGAAGAGGAGAGUGGAAUUCCAUGUGUAGCGGUGAAAUGCGUCGUUAUAUGGAGGAACACCAGUGGGGAAGGCGACUCUCUGGUCUGUAACUGACGCUGAGGCUCGAAAGCGUGGGUAGCAAACAGG